AAACGCUGGCGGCGUGCCUAAUACAUGCAAGUCGAGCGGAUUUACCCUUCGGGGUAAGGUUAGCGGCGGACGGGUGAGUAACACGUGGGUAACCUGCCUCAAAGAGGGGGAUAGCCUCCCGAAAGGGAGAUUAAUACCGCAUAAUAUCAGUACUUCGCAUGAAGAACUGAUUAAAGGAGUAAUCCGCUUUGAGAUGGACCCGCGGCGCAUUAGCUAGUUGGUGAGGUAAAGGCUCACCCAAGGCGACGAUGCGUAGCCGACCUGAGAGGGUGAUCGGCCACAUUGGAACUGAGAUACGGUCCAGACUCCUACGGGAGGCAGCAGUGGGGAAUAUUGCACAAUGGGCGAAAGCCUGAUGCAGCAACGCCGCGUGAGUGAUGAAGGCCUUCGGGUUGUAAAGCUCUGUCUUUGGGGACGAUAAUGACGGUACCCAAGGAGGAAGCCACGGCUAACUACGUG
rnacentral:rRNA from 1 species